GACGAACCGUGCGAACGUUGUUCGGAAUCACUGGGCUUAAAGGGCGCGUAGGCGGCUGCACAAGCCCGGGGUGAAAGCCCCCAGCUCAACUGGGGAAGUGCCUUGGAUACUGUGUAGCUCGAGCGAGGUAGGGGUCGUGGGAACUUCCGGUGGAGCGGUGAAAUGCGUUGAUAUCGGAAGGAACGCCGGUGGCGAAAGCGCACGACUGGACCUCUUCUGACGCUGAGGCGCGAAAGCCAGGGGAGCAAACGGG
rnacentral:rRNA from 1 species